rnacentral:tRNA from 1 species
CUUCGUUUCUCUUUCUUCAGAUGAUGAUCCCAAGCCUUCUGGCGAUCUAGACAAAACAAGUCCACCGUGGGCUUUGAAAAACGCUUUCCUUGAUAAAAUUUAAGCGUUUUAUAAGAGGAUGCCCGGGAAGGUUUUCCGGUUUAUCCCGGAGGGCUUGUAGCUCAGUUGGUUAGAGCGCGCGCUUGAUAAGCGUGAGGUCGGAGGUUCAAGUCCUCCCAGGCCCACCAGUUUAUCCAUUACUUUCAUAAGUGCUUUUAAAAAAUAAGUACUUCUAAAAAGAUUGCUUCUAAAAAGCUUAUCAAAAUUGGCAGGCUUAUUGCUUUUGUGUGAGUAAUCCAAAGUUAAAGCAAAUUAAUGGCAAAAAAACAGUUCAAAUGCUAAAUACUAAGGAGUCAAAAUUCCUUGCAAAGUGAUUUUUACAGCGUCCAUUUGGUUGAUAUAAAUUCCAAAUGCUCAUAGACGUCAAUGCCUAUAUGAAACUAUCGGUUCAAUCAUAUCGCUUUGAGUUAUAUAGAUUUUGUAAUCCCUCUUUUGAUCGUUUUAAACGCUUUAUCCUGAUUUAGGGGCCGUAGCUCAGCUGGGAGAGCACCUGCUUUGCAAGCAGGGGGUCGUCGGUUCGAUCCCGUCCGGCUCCACCAUAAGGUCAUCAU